CCUACGGGAGGCAGCAGUCGGGAAUAUUGCGCAAUGGAGGAAACUCUGACGCAGUGACGCCGCGUGCAGGAAGAAGGUUUUCGGAUUGUAAACUGCUUUAGACAGGGAAGAAACAAGACAGUACCUGUAGAAUAAGCUCCGGCUAACUACGUGCCAGCAGCCGCGGUAAUACGUAGGGAGCAAGCGUUAUCCGGAUUUAUUGGGUUUAAAGGGUGCGUAGGCGGACUGGAAAGUCAGCGGUAAAAUCGAGAGGCUCAACCUCUUUCCGCCGUUGAAACUGUCGGUCUUGAGUGGGCGAGAAGUAU
rnacentral:rRNA from 1 species